GACGAACGCUGGCGGCGUGCUUAACACAUGCGAGUCGAACGGAAAGGCCCUGCUUUUGUUGUGGGCUCGAGUUGCUAACGUGUCAGUAACACGUGAAUAACCUGCCUGUUAUUUUGGGAUAACUGCAGGAAACUGGGGCUAAUAGCGGUUAGUCGCGCCUGGUGCGUGGGGUGGGUUGGAAAGUUUCGGCGGUUGGGGUUGGGCUCGCGGCUUAUCAGCUUGUUGGUGGGGUAGUGGGUUAGCAAGGCGUUGACGGGUAGGCGGCCUGCGAGGGUGACCGGCCACAUUGGGAAUGAGCUACGGCCCAGCCUCCUAGGGGAGGCAGCAGUGGGGAAUAUUGCACAAUGGGCGGAAGCCUGAUGCAGCAACGCCGCGUGCGGGAUGACGGCCUUCGGGUUGUAACCCGCUUUCGCCUGUGACGAAGCGUGAGUGACGGUAAUGGGUAAAGAAGCACCGGCUAACUACGUG
rnacentral:rRNA from 1 species